rnacentral:rRNA from 1 species
GACGAACGCUGGCGGCGUGCUUAACACAUGCAAGUCGAACGGAAAGGCCCUGCUUGCAGGGUACUCGAGUGGCGAACGGGUGAGUAACACGUGGGUGAUCUGCCCUGCACUUCGGGAUAAGCCUGGGAAACUGGGUCUAAUACCGGAUAGGACCAUCGUUUAGUGUCGGUGGUGGAAAGUUUUUCGGUGCAGGAUGAGCUCGCGGCCUAUCAGCUUGUUGGUGGGGUAAUGGCCUACCAAGGCGUCGACGGGUAGCCGGCCUGAGAGGGUGGACGGCCACAUUGGGACUGAGACACGGCCCAGACUCCUACGGGAGGCAGCAGUGGGGAAUAUUGCACAAUGGGCGCAAGCCUGAUGCAGCGACGCCGCGUGGGGGAUGAAGGCCUUCGGGUUGUAAACUCCUUUCAACCAUGACGAAGCUUUUUGUGACGGUAGUGGUAGAAGAAGCACCGGCUAACUACGUGCCAGCCGCCGCCGUAAAA